rnacentral:rRNA from 1 species
UGGGGAAUUUUGGACAAUGGGCGCAAGCCUGAUCCAGCCAUGCCGCGUGCGGGAAGAAGGCCUUCGGGUUGUAAACCGCUUUUGUCAGGGAAGAAAUCUUCUGAGUUAAUACCUCGGGAGGAUGACGGUACCUGAAAAAUAAGCACCGGCUAACUACGUGCCAGCAGCCGCGGUAAUACGUAGGGUGCAAGCGUUAAUCGGAAUUACUGGGCGUAAAGCGUGCGCAGGCGGUUUUGUAAGACAGAGGUGAAAUCCCCCGGGCUCAACCUGGGAACUGCCUUUGUGACUGCAAGGCUUGAGUGCGGCAGAGGGGGAUGGAAUUCCGCGUGUAGCAGUGAAAUGCGUAGAUAUGCGGAGGAACACC